AGUGUACCCGCGGCAAGACGGAAAGACCCCGUGAACCUUUACUAUAGCUUGACACUGAACAUUGAGCCUUGAUGUGUAGGAUAGGUGGGAGGCUUUGAAGUGUGGACGCCAGUCUGCAUGGAGCCGACCUUGAAAUACCACCCUUUAAUGUUUGAUGUUCUAACGUUGACCCGUAAUCCGGGUUGCGGACAGUGUCUGGUGGGUAGUUUGACUGGGGCGGUCUCCUCCUAAAGAGUAACGGAGGAGCACGAAGGUUGGCUAAUCCUGGUCGGACAUCAGGAGGUUAGUGCAAUGGCAUAAGCCAGCUUGACUGCGAGCGUGACGGCGCGAGCAGGUGCGAAAGCAGGUC
rnacentral:rRNA from 1 species